rnacentral:rRNA from 1 species
AACCGAGCUUCACUCCCAACCCCUGUGACAUACCAAUUGUUGCCUCGGCGGAUCAGCCCGCUCCCGGUAAAACGGGACGGCCCGCCAGAGGACCCCUAAACUCUGUUUCUAUAUGUAACUUCUGAGUAAAACCAUAAAUAAAUCAAAACUUUCAACAACGGAUCUCUUGGUUCUGGCAUCGAUGAAGAACGCAGCAAAAUGCGAUAAGUAAUGUGAAUUGCAGAAUUCAGUGAAUCAUCGAAUCUUUGAACGCACAUUGCGCCCGCCAGUAUUCUGGCGGGCAUGCCUGUUCGAGCGUCAUUUCAACCCUCAAGCCCUCGGGUUUGGUGUUGGGGAUCGGCGAGCCCUUGCGGCAAGCCGGCCCCGAAAUCUAGUGGCGGUCUCGCUGCAGCUUCCAUUGCGUAGUAGUAAAACCCUCGCAACUGGUACGCGGCGCGGCCAAGCCGUUAAACCCCCAACUUCUGAAUGUUGACCUCGGAUCAGGUAGGAAUACCCGCUGAACUUAAGCAUAUCA